GCCUGGCGUGGUGAUGUAUGCCUGUAAUCCCAGUGACCUAGGAGGCUAAGGCAGGAGGAUCACAAGUUCAAAAGUCAGCCUCAGCAAAAGAGAGGCACUAAGCAACUUGUUUAGAUCCUGUCUCUA
rnacentral:sRNA from 1 species